CGAGUACGCACCAUUAUUGAGUGUGUUAGAGCGGUGUUCCCUAACCAACAGUCCAGGAUUUAUGUAUUCCCCUGUUUUUAUUCCAAUGAAGAUACUUACAAAACCUGAACUGUUGGUGGUCCAUGAGGACUGGGUUGGGCAACACUAUGUUAGAGAAUCCAUAUGGAGCAGGAUUUUAGUUGCGUUGCGAAGUGGCAGGUUUUGGGUGAUUGAUUGAACCGAAUGGAUGUGGAGAGUGAAUGAGUUCAGAGGCAGCUCUAAACCUCUAAAAGGACAUUGACAAAGGAGAAUGCAACUCUUCUUUUUAGGAGAUUGAAGCUCAGGAAGCAUGUAACAGAGCUAUUAACAGACAAUCUAAUCUGGAACUGCAGACGGACAGCAGACAACUAUGCUUGGGAUUGCUCAAAUUAUGUAUUCGUUUUCAUUGUUGACCAGCAUAACCAUAAAUCUUAUGAAUUGGCCCAAAUUUGCUGAUGUGAUCUGGAAAACCUCUCUGGUCCUGUCCAUUAUGCCAUUCUUGCUAUUCUCUUAGUAUGGAAACUUGUGUUUUAAUUCUUAUUUGAGACAAACUACACACAAAUUAGAACAGUUGUCUGUUUCAGUUGGUUAACUUAGUGCAUCUUGAUUUUGAUUUACAUGUGGUAAUUUCAUGUUUUUUUCCUCCCCAUCCUACCUGAAGGAAGCUAAAAUAUUCUGGCAACAGCAGGAUUGAUCAGACAGGGAGGGCUAGCAGCAUG